rnacentral:rRNA from 1 species
GAUGAACGCUGGCGGCGUGCCUAAUACAUGCAAGUCGAGCGAACGGACGAGAAGCUUGCUUUUCUGAUGUUAGCGGCGGACGGGUGAGUAACACGUGGAUAACCUACCUAUAAGACUGGGAUAACUUCGGGAAGCCGGAGCUAAUACCGGAUAAUAUUUUGAACCGCAUGGUUCAAAAGUGAAAGACGGUCUUGCUGUCACUUAUAGAUGGAUCCGCGCUGCAUUAGCUAGUUGGUAAGGUAACGGCUUACCAAGGCAACGAUGCAUAGCCGACCUGAGAGGGUGAUCGGCCACACUGGAACUGAGACACGGUCCAGACUCCUACGGGAGGCAGCAGUAGGGAAUCUUCCGCAAUGGGCGAAAGCCUGACGGAGCAACGCCGCGUGAGUGGUGAAGGUCUUCGGAUCGUAAAACUCUGUUAUUAGGGAAGAACAUAUGUGUAAGUAACUGUGCACAUCUUGACGGUACCUAAUCAGAAAGCCACGGCUAACUACGUG